GUGCCAGCCGCCGCGGUAAUACCGGCAGCCCGAGUGAUGGCCACUCUUAUUGGGCCUAAAGCGUCCGUAGCCGGCCUCGCAAGUCCGUCGGGAAAUCCAGUAGCUCAACUACUGGGCGUCCGGCGGAAACUACAAGGCUUGGGACCGGAAGGCUCGAGGGGUACGUCCGGGGUAGGAGUGAAAUCCCGUAAUCCCGCACGGACCACCGAUGGCGAAAGCACCUCGAGAAAACGGAUCCGGCAGUGAGGGACGAAAGCUAAGAUCGCGAACCGGAUUAGAAACCCGAGUAGUCC
rnacentral:rRNA from 1 species